rnacentral:misc_RNA from 1 species
GAUGAAGAACGCAGCGAAAUGCGAUAAGUAAUGUGAAUUGCAGAAUUCAGUGAAUCAUCGAAUCUUUUAACGCACAUUGCGCCCCUUGGUAUUCCGAGGGGCAUGCCUGUUCGAGCGUCAUUACACCACUCAAGCACUGCUUGGUAUUGGGCAUCGUCCGUCGAAAGGCGGGCGUGCCUCGAAGACCUCGGCGGGGUUUCUCCAACUUCGGGCGUAGUAGAGUUAAAUCGAACGUCUUAUAAGCUUGGUGGGACUCCAUUGCCGUUAAACCUUUUAUUUUCUAGGUUGACCUCGGAUCAGGUAGGGAUACCCGCUGAACUUAAGCAUAUCAAUAAGCGGAGGA